rnacentral:rRNA from 1 species
GCUACAGGCUUAACACAUGCAAGUCGAGGGGCAGCAUGGUCUUAGCUUGCUAAGGCCGAUGGCGACCGGCGCACGGGUGAGUAACACGUAUCCAACCUGCCGUCUACUCUUGGACAGCCUUCUGAAAGGAAGAUUAAUACAAGAUGGCAUCAUGAGUCCGCAUGUUCACAUGAUUAAAGGUAUUCCGGUAGACGAUGGGGAUGCGUUCCAUUAGAUAGUAGGCGGGGUAACGGCCCACCUAGUCUUCGAUGGAUAGGGGCUCUGAGAGGAAGGUCCCCCACAUUGGAACUGAGACACGGUCCAAACUCCUACGGGAGGCAGCAGUGAGGAAUAUUGGUCAAUGGGCGAGAGCCUGAACCAGCCAAGUAGCGUGAAGGAUGACUGCCCUAUGGGUUGUAAACUUCUUUUAUAAAGGAAUAAAGUCGGGUAUGGAUACCCGUUUGCAUGUACUUUAUGAAUAAGGAUCGGCUAACUCCGUGCCAGCAGCCGCGGUAAUACGGAGGAUCCGAGCGUUAUCCGGAUUUAUUGGGUUUAAAGGGAGCGUAGAUGGAUGUUUAAGUCAGUUGUGAAAGUUUGCGGCUCAACCGUAAAAUUGCAGUUGAUACUGGAUAUCUUGAGUGCAGUUGAGGCAGGCGGAAUUCGUGGUGUAGCGGUGAAAUGCUUAGAUAUCACGAAGAACUCCGAUUGCGAAGGCAGCCUGCUAAGCUGCAACUGACAUUGAGGCUCGAAAGUGUGGGUAUCAAACAGGAUUAGAUACCCUGGUAGUCCACACGGUAAACGAUGAAUACUCGCUGUUUGCGAUAUACUGCAAGCGGCCAAGCGAAAGCGUUAAGUAUUCCACCUGGGGAGUACGCCGGCAACGGUGAAACUCAAAGGAAUUGACGGGGGCCCGCACAAGCGGAGGAACAUGUGGUUUAAUUCGAUGAUACGCGAGGAACCUUACCCGGGCUUAAAUUGCAGAUGAAUUACGGUGAAAGCCGUAAGCCGCAAGGCAUCUGUGAAGGUGCUGCAUGGUUGUCGUCAGCUCGUGCCGUGAGGUGUCGGCUUAAGUGUCAUAACGAGCGCAACCCUUGUUGUCAGUUACUAACAGGUUCCGCUGAGGACUCUGACAAGACUGCCAUCGUAAGAUGUGAGGAAGGUGGGGAUGACGUCAAAUCAGCACGGCCCUUACGUCCGGGGCUACACACGUGUUACAAUGGGGGGUACAGAGGGCCGCUACCACGCGAGUGGAUGCCAAUCCCCAAAACCUCUCUCAGUUCGGACUGGAGUCUGCAACCCGACUCCACGAAGCUGGAUUCGCUAGUAAUCGCGCAUCAGCCACGGCGCGGUGAAUACGUUCCCGGGCCUUGUACACACCGCCCGUCAAGCCAUGGGAGCCGGGGGUACCUGAAGUGCGUAACCGCGAGGAGCGCCCUAGGGUAAAACUGGUGACUGGGGCUAAGUCGUA